rnacentral:rRNA from 1 species
AUUGAACGCUGGCGGCAGGCCUAACACAUGCAAGUCGAGCGGAGAGGCGGACGGGUGAGUAAUGCCUAGGAAUCUGCCUGGUAGUGGGGGAUAACGUCCGGAAACGGGCGCUAAUACCGCAUACUAUCAGAUGAGCCUAGGGAGGAUUAGCUAGUUGGUGGGGUAAAGGCCUACCAAGGCGACGAGCCGAAACUGGUCUGAGAGGAGUAUCAGUCACACUGGAAAGGUGACACGUUCCAGACUCCUACGGGAGGCAGCAUUGGGGAAUAUUGGACAAUGGGCGAAAGCAGUAUCCAGCCAUGCCGCGUGUGUGAAGAAGGUCUUCGGAUUGUAAAGCACUUUAAGUUGGGAGGCGUUACCAACAGAAUAAGCACCGGCUAACUUCGUGCCAGCAGCCGCGGUAAUAC